rnacentral:misc_RNA from 1 species
GAUGAAGAACGUAGCGAAAUGCGAUAAGUAAUGUGAAUUGCAGAAUUCAGUGAAUCAUCGAAUCUUUGAACGCACAUUGCGCCCGCCAGUAUUCUGGCGGGCAUGCCUGUCCGAGCGUCAUUUCAACCCUCGAACCCCUCCGGGGGGUCGGCGUUGGGGAUCGGCCCUUUACGGGGCCGGCCCCGAAAUACAGUGGCGGUCUCGCCGCAGCCCCUCCUGCGCAGUAGUUUGCACACUCGCAUCGGGAGCGCGGCGCGUCCACAGCCGUUAAACACCCCAAACUUCUGAAAUGUUGACCUCGGAUCAGGUAGGAAUACCCGCUGAACUUAAGCAUAUCAAUAAGCGGAGGA